CGGAGGGUGCGAGCGUUGUCCGGAAUCAUUGGGCGUAAAGGGCGCGUAGGUGGCCUGGUCAGUCGGUGGUGAGAGCGCGGGGCUCAACUCCGCGUCGGCCGUCGAUACUGCUGGGCUUGAGCACUGUAGAGGCAGGCGGAAUUCCGGGUGUAGCGGUGGAAUGCGUAGAGAUCCGGAAGAACACCGGUGGCGAAGGCGGCCUGCUGGGCAGUGGCUGACACUGAUGCGCGACAGCGUGGGGAGCAAACAGGAUUAGAUACCCUGGUAGUCCACGCCGUAAACGAUGGGCACUAGGCGCUUGGGGGAGCGACCCUCCGAGGGCCGGCGCUAACGCAUUAAGUGCCCCGCCUGGGGAGUACGGCCGCAAGGCUG
rnacentral:rRNA from 1 species